GGAUACUAGUCAGAUUUGUUUCUGCUGAGCCAUGACAGGAACUCUUAGACUCCCUAGAAUAUUAAUUUCAGGAAAGAGGGUCAUAAUCUCUUUUGGUCAAUAUUCUAGCUACAGUAUUUUAACUGACUUUCUUGAUAUCACUAGCAAAAGACGUGGACAUGUUGCCUCAAUUCUUUCACGAGUCCAGGUUCCUCAUUUAGCCAUCAGUGGUACCUGAUACCUUUUGCGACACAACAUUGGAGGAAGGAUUGAGAUACCUUGUUAUAUCAUGGGGGAUGUGGUAGCCUUUGUCAUCAUGGAUAUGGAUAGGGCAAUAUUUUUUCUCAAGUGUUUGCUAAAAAGUCAAAAGGGUGGGCUAUAGUCUUGCUGGUCUGCCCAUUUCCUAGAUAUUUGAUUAGAGUACAAUUUUGCUGUUAUUGUUGUUUCCCUUAGUCAUUCUUUUGGUUCGCACCCAUUUGUGUGUCUAGGUUGCUAUCUUCUGCUCUAAGUCUGGGGUACAUGAAGCAAGCAGACAGUGAAAACUCAUCACUGUGUUGUUUCUUGGAUCUCAAGAUUCCAAGUCAGCUUCCUACAUUCUAUCAACCUUUCAGCAUUGUCUUAUGCUUGUAUUACAUGUAAUGCUCAAGGCUUAGAGUUGUACUUAAAAGAGGAACAGAGAUAAUGUAUGUCUAUUCCAUUUUUUAAACACUUGGGAACUAAACAAUAUACAUCUAAAUCCAUGGUCAAAGAGGAAAUUUUGAAAAUAAAAAAUACAUUAAGAUAUGAAUAAACCUACCUGAGUAACUGAAAAAGGCAAUGAGUGAGACCUGUCUCAAAGAUGUCUGAAUCUACCAACAGCUCAAAAUUUAGGUGUGCAGCCAAGAGAUGCUAUUUCUGAGAAGACUGCUGAAAAUUUUCUCUGACUGGUCGCCAUUGCAGAGAUAUGACCACUGAUGGGAACUGUAGUUGACAGAAAUCACCAUAGAGAGCUCUAAGUUGAAUACAAAAUGGGAAAAGAUUCACAUAUUGCAAAAGAGUCUACUCUGUUCCAGGUUUCAGAAAUGUCCUGUCCUGAGCUUCUUCUGAGGAAAACUGCCUGUCCAAAUUUCUGCAGCAUUGUAACAAUUCUAAGCAGCUCUUUACAUACUUUCUGCACCAAAUCAUCGUCUCCCUAACCAUAACUCUUUGGACUAAGAAUACAGGUUGAUUAAAUAAAAUAGGAAAUUUGAUGCUUCAUGAUUUCUAAACUAGAAGCAGACAAGGUUUAAUUGCCAGAGAAUACAAUUUUAUGGAUGAUAUAGUAAUAGAAGGUUGUCAAUAUAUUAAGCUAUUAUUGGAUUUGGGGAACGAUUGCUGUGGUCUGUUGACACUCUUCACUGAUUGACUUUCUCUGAGAAGAUCAGAAUCCCAGAGCUGAUGGUCAGGGAUGGGCAGUGACUACUUGGGUCACUAUAACUCCAGGACUAAAAGAAGAAAAUUCUCUGCCUAUCCUCCCUAUCUCAAGUUUUUCCCAUGAGCCUAAGUAGAUAGGUAGAGCAAUUAGAAUUAUAAUGACAUGAAUUAUCAACUAUGUAGACCUGUCCAGAGCUAGCUAUUGAGUAAGAUGUUUUCAAUUGCUCCAGAGUUGUUAAGUAUGUAGGCUUAGAUUUAGAUAUUCAUUCAAAACUCAUAGCCCCGCCUUUGUGUCCUUUCUGUAACUACACCUAUCUUGCCUCUUAAUAGAUCUUUUGAGAAGUUCAGUACCAACUUUGGGUAGCCCACUGUUCUGAUUACUUCCAUAACAAGAUUUGAUUUAUAUCUGGUAUAAUCAUGUCAUUACAAUGUAGGAGAGAGAAGGUCAUAUUGUUCACCACCUGCUUAUUUAUUGCUUCUUUGGUCCUAACCCUAAUACCACUUGACUUUAUUUUCAAGUAUGUACAGGUCAUAUCAUACUGUUUAUAGAAGCAGGCUUUAACUUUCUAUCUUUUGGAUAGCAAUUUAAAUUAAAUUGAUAUAUUCUGGCUUUCGUUGUCUUUGUGCUGUUGAUUUUAUUUCAGUUUUACACCAGUUCUUCAAAAUUUAUCUGCUUAUUUUUCUGAUGCUUUUAGAAAUCAACAUACUAAUAUAUUUCAUUAUCUACCUGAUUAUAGAUCAGUGGGAUUAGGAGUCCAUUUAAUAUAAAUAAAAGCAAUGGAUACAUUAUGGAUGGAAAAUUUAAGACCAUUUGUUUAGUUUUCCCUUCUAAACUAAUAUCCUAUUGAAAGCCUCUGUAAUAUGAAAAUUCUGGAGAUCUUUUAAAUAAAGCUUCAUUAUUUGAGGUUA